CUUAGCAUCACAGUUAUGCUAUCCCCAUAUUUCAAAGCAAUUGUUAGUCAUCAACAAAUUGUUUCGUUCCCAGUUGCUCUGAUGUUGCUUCGGGCUGUGCUGGGGAGCAAAUUUUUACUACCACUUUUCUCACUUAAAAUAUAUGGAACUAUAACAAAGAGAAGGAACAGGGAGGGAUAGCUCAGUGGUUUGAGCAUUGGUCUGCUAAACCUAGGGUUGUGAGUUCAGUCCUUGAGGGGACUAUUUAGGGUUUUGGG